UUUUAUUUUAUACCGAAUAAAUACUAAGAUUUAUCUUGUUUAUUGACUUUUAUUUUUAAAAAAUUUUAUACCGUAUUUAUGUCCGAUCAGAGCCGUCCAUGAACGCAAUAGGACCAAAUUUAUGCUUGCGGCCUCAAUUACUACAAAUAAAAUAUU
rnacentral:sRNA from 1 species